rnacentral:rRNA from 1 species
UACGUAGGGGGCAAGCGUUGUCCGGAUUUAUUGGGCGUAAAGAGCGUGUAGGCGGCCAUACAGGUCAGCUGUGAAAACUCGAGGCUCAACCUCGAGACGUCGGUUGAAACCGUUUGGCUAGAGUCCGGAAGAGGAGAGUGGAAUUCCCGGUGUAGCGGUGAAAUGCGCAGAUAUCGGGAAGAACACCCGUGGCGAAAGCGGCUCUCUGGAACGGUACUGACGCUGAGACGCGAAAGCGUGGGGAGCGAACAGG